UACGUAGGGUGCAAGCGUUGUCCGGAAUUAUUGGGCGUAAAGAGCUCGUAGGCGGCCUGUCGCGUCGGCUGUGAAAACCCGGGGCUCAACCCCGGGCCUGCAGUCGAUACGGGCAGGCUAGAGUCCGGCAGGGGAGACUGGAAUUCCUGGUGUAGCGGUGAAAUGCGCAGAUAUCAGGAGGAACACCGGUGGCGAAGGCGGGUCUCUGGAACGCAACUGACGCUGAGACGCGAAAGCGUGGGGAGCAAACAGG
rnacentral:rRNA from 1 species